rnacentral:rRNA from 1 species
UGGGGAAUAUUGCACAAUGGGGGAAACCCUGAUGCAGCGACGCCGCGUGAGCGAAGAAGUAUUUCGGUAUGUAAAGCUCUAUCAGCAGGGAAGAAAAUGACGGUACCUGACUAAGAAGCCCCGGCUAACUACGUGCCAGCAGCCGCGGUAAUACGUAGGGGGCAAGCGUUAUCCGGAUUUACUGGGUGUAAAGGGAGCGUAGACGGCAUAGUAAGUCUGAUGUGAAAGGCGGGGGCUCAACCCCUGGACUGCAUUGGAAACUAUUAAGCUGGAGUGUCGGAGAGGUAAGUGGAAUUCCUAGUGUAGCGGUGAAAUGCGUAGAUAUUAGGAGGAACACCAGUGGCGAAGGCGGCUUACUGGACGAUCACUGACGUUGAGGCUCGAAAGCGUGGGGAGCAAACAGG